rnacentral:rRNA from 1 species
CUACGGGAUGCACCAGUGAGGAAUAUUGCACAAUGGGGGGAACCCUGAUGCAGCAACGCCGCGUGGAGGAUGACGCAUUUCGGUGUGUAAACUCCUUUUAUAUGUCAAGAAAAUGACGGUAGCAUAUGAAUAAGCACCGGCUAACUCCGUGCCAGCAGCCGCGGUAAUACGGAGGGUGCAAGCGUUACUCGGAAUCACUGGGCGUAAAGGACGCGUAGGCGGGUUGGAAAGUCGGGUGUGAAAUCCUACAGCUUAACUGUAGAACUGUACUUGAAACUUCUAAUCUAGAGUAUGGGAGGGGGAGAUGGAAUUAGUGGUGUAGGGGUAAAAUCCGUAGAUAUCACUAGGAAUACCUAAAGCGAAGGCGAUCUCCUGGAACAUUACUGACGCUAAGGCGUGAAAGCGUGGGGAGCAAACAGGAUUAGAUACCCCUGUAGUC